rnacentral:rRNA from 1 species
GGGCCCGCACAAGCGGUGGAGCAUGUGGUUCAAUUCGACGCAACGCGAAGAACCUUACCCAGGCUUGAACAGCGAGUGACCACUCCCGAAAGGGAGCUUCCGCAAGGACACUCGUAGAGGUGCUGCAUGGCUGUCGUCAGCUCGUGUCGUGAGAUGUUGGGUUAAGUCCCGCAACGAGCGCAACCCUUGUCUGCUGUUGCCAUCAGGUUAUGCUGGGCACUCUGCAGAGACCGCCGGUGAUAAACCGGAGGAAGGUGGGGAUGACGUCAAGUCAGCAUGGCCUUUAUGUCUGGGGCUACACACGUGCUACAAUGGCCGGUACAAACCGUCGCGAUACCGUAAGGUGGAGCUAAUCGGAGAAAGCCGGUCUCAGUUCGGAUAGCAGGCUGCAACUCGCCUGCUUGAAGUUGGAAUCGCUAGUAAUCGCGGAUCAGCACGCCGCGGUGAAUACGUUCCCGGGCCUU